rnacentral:misc_RNA from 1 species
GUGAAGAACGCAGCGAAAUGCGAUAAGUAAUGUGAAUUGCAGAAUUCAGUGAAUCAUCGAAUCUUUGAACGCACAUUGCGCCCGCCAGCACUCUGGCGGGCAUGCCUGUCCGAGCGUCAUUUCAGCCCUCAGGGCCCCUUCGGGGGACCUGGCGUUGGGGAUCGGCCCGCCCCCGUGCGGCGCCGUCCCCGAAAUAUAGUGGCGGUCUCGCUGCAGCCUCCCCUGCGUAGUAGCACACCUCGCACUGGAGAGCGGCGCGGCCACGCCGUGAAACCCCCAACUUCUGAAUGUUGACCUCGGAUCAGGUAGGAAUACCCGCUGAACUUAAGCAUAUCAAUAAGCGGAGGA